rnacentral:tRNA from 1 species
CAGAAUUUAGUUUAAAAAAUUUUAGUCUUGGAUACUAAAGAUAUCAGAGUGAUAGUUCUAA